rnacentral:rRNA from 1 species
UACGUAGGUGGCAAGCGUUGUCCGGAUUUACUGGGCGUAAAGAGCGCGCAGGCGGUCGUUCAAGUCGCGUGUGAAAGCUCCCGGCUUAACUGGGAGAGGUCAACGGAAACUGUCGAGCUAGAGUGCGGUAGAGGUAGCUGGAAUUCCCGGUGUAGCGGUGAAAUGCGUAGAUAUCGGGAGGAAUACCUAUGGCGAAAGCAGGCUACUGGACCGUCACUGACUCUGAUCUGCGAAAGCUAGGGGAGCAAACAGG